GAUGAACGCUGGCGGCGUGCCUAAUACAUGCAAGUCGAGCGAACAGACGAGGAGCUUGCUCCUCUGACGUUAGCGGCGGACGGGUGAGUAACACGUGGAUAACCUACCUAUAAGACUGGGAUAACUUCGGGAAACCGGAGCUAAUACCGGAUAAUAUAUUGAACCGCAUGGUUCAAUAGUGAAAGACGGUUUUGCUGUCACUUAUAGAUGGAUCCGCGCCGCAUUAGCUAGUUGGUAAGGUAACGGCUUACCAAGGCAACGAUGCGUAGCCGACCUGAGAGAGUGAUCGGCCACACUGGAACUGAGACACGGUCCAGACUCCUACGGGAGGCAGCAGUAGGGAAUCUUCCGCAAAGGGCGAAAGCCUGACGGAGCAACGCCGAGUGAGUGAUGAAGGUCUUCGGAUCGUAAAGCUCUGUUAUUAGGGAAGAACAACUGUGUAAGUAACUAUGCACGUCUUGACGGUACCUAAUCAGAAAGCAACGGCUAACUACGUG
rnacentral:rRNA from 1 species